GUCUGGAAGCUCCUCGGAUUAAAGCACGCCGACUCGGCCGUGUUGACUGAAACAUCAAAUCCACUCAGACAAAACACAAAUCUCUCUCCAACGCCGAUGUGCCACACUUCACUUCCUCAACAGUCAUGUGUGGGGAUUCAAACGUUCCUUGACAGCUGAAUUAUACCGGGCUCGACUCCACCGGCCCCGCCUCCCCUCACCUGCCUCCCACCACGGAUCCUGACAAUAGACUCGAAGUGCGCAUGUUCAUUCCGCGUGCGGCUCACUCCCAUAAUCGAAUUCAUCGACUUUCAAUGAGUGCUCGGUUGAUUUGUCUCUCCCUGUCCGACUCGCCGCCUCCCUCCUUUUAUCUCCCCGUAAAUACGUUAAUCAUGGCAGUCAGCGGCGCAUAAAGCGGCUCUUUGGGAGGAAUCCUCCCCACAAAGAGCUGGUAGACAGGUGGAAUUUCAGCUGCGUCCUCGCUCACCUGCUCCAAGGAGGGAGUAAAGGGGGAGGUGGGGGGGAGUUAUCUGCACAAAUGAAAGAAGCAGACGUGCAAACACAGGCUUUACAUCGGCCAGCGGUGAGGAUAUCGGAGCCCCAAUCCUCUCAGCAGCAUUAUAAAUAGCGCCUCCUUUAUCCAGUCUGUGCAGAAAAAGCAUUAAGGGAAAGGAUGUUAUGACCUCGAGCAGUUUCAUACAUGUGGCAGGCAAACAGGGAAUGGAAGCGUCAUGUCGUUUCACCACCGCGUGCAAAUCUCUCAUGAAGGAGGUCACAGCGGUUGCUUUGGCCUGAAAAAGGCUGUGACUGGCACUCAGUCUGCUCUUCAACAAACAGUCAGCCCCUCACGUGAACCACAGAGGCUGUAGAUCUGAAAACACCGAUGAGCCACAUUAUGACGAGUCGUAUGGAACGUUGGCUGCAU